rnacentral:rRNA from 1 species
UACGAAGGGGGCUAGCGUUGCUCGGAAUUACUGGGCGUAAAGGGAGCGUAGGCGGAUAGUUAAGUCAGAGGUGAAAGCCCAGGGCUCAACCUUGGAAUUGCCUUUGAUACUGAGGAUCUUGAGUUCGGGAGAGGUGAGUGGAACUGCGAGUGUAGAGGUGAAAUUCGUAGAUAUUCGCAAGAACACCAGUGGCGAAGGCGGCUCACUGGCCCGGUACUGACGCUGAGGUGCGAAAGCGUGGGGAGCAAACAGG